GAUUUGCAUGAUUUUUAGUUCUUAUAUUUACAAUAAUGAUGCCAAUUGUGGUAGCAUUGAUGAUGCCUUGAGGCUGUUUGGUAAAAUGCCUGAGAGAAGGUAUUUAUAGGUUUUCCACAGCUUCUGAAGUACUCAAGCUCAUGGGCUAAUGUUUGUUUCUUUUGACUUUAAAUAUUGGACAGGUAAAUGACAGUAAGUUCAGGCAAGAGUAUAAAAAAGUGUCAUUUCUUCCCCAUUUGUGGUAAGCUCCAAUAAGAACAUGCAGGGCUGAUGUAUUUUCAGCCCCACAGAUCAAUGUUUCCAUUGCAAGGUUCAAUAUUGAAAUGUGAUUAUCAGAAGCAGUGGGCCAUCAUUGAAAGAUUACCCUUGUAGUGAGUCUAGAUGGGAGAGGACAAGGAUCUUUCAGUUAUGACGAACGUGGAUUUGCAAAAGCUGUUCCCAGGCAAGAAGGUAAGAGAAUAAUACACCCAGGUGAACUUGAAUCAUAUGC